rfam:Glossina brevipalpis unplaced genomic scaffold Scaffold42, whole genome shotgun sequence.
UAGGAGGUUUAGUACGUAGGCGCCAUGGAUGAUGAAUCGUGCAUGCUACUGGUACGGGAGUAUCUUUGGAAGAUUUCUACUUCC